rnacentral:rRNA from 1 species
GUGGGGAAUAUUGGACAAUGGGCGAAAGCCUGAUCCAGCCAUGCCGCGUGUGUGAAGAAGGUCUUCGGAUUGUAAAGCACUUUAAGUUGGGAGGAAGGGCAGUAAGUUAAUACCUUGCUGUUUUGACGUUACCGACAGAAUAAGCACCGGCUAACUUCGUGCCAGCAGCCGCGGUAAUACGAAGGGUGCAAGCGUUAAUCGGAAUUACUGGGCGUAAAGCGCGCGUAGGUGGUUUUGUAAGUUGGAGGUGAAAUCCCCGGGCUCAACCUGGGAACUGCCUCCAAAACUGCAUGACUAGAGUACGGUAGAGGGUAGUGGAAUGUCCUGUGUAGCGGUGAAAUGCGUAGAUAUAGGAAGGAACACCAGUGGCGAAGGCGACUACCUGGACUGAUACUGACACUGAGGCGCGAAAGCGUGGGGAGCAAACAGGAUUAGAAACCCUAGUAGUCC